GGGUAUUACACCUGAUCUCACCACCGCUCCUAUCCCGUCGAUGUUUUUACCACCUAUAACCACCAUCUCCAUUGUAUUCAGUACCACGUGUCCAUUAUUCUUCACCUUCCUCCAUUUUCUCCCUGUAUAAAUCUCUCACCCUUUUCGCUUCUCCCAUUUUCCAUUUCCCCUAAAAUCUUGCCCAAAUUUCAAGAAUCAAACAUAAAAAUCAAGAAUUUUUAAGAUAACAUUGCAUUAUCCACUUCAAUUCAAGUCACACCCACCUCUAAUUCAAAUAGUUGGUCUUAUCUCAC
rnacentral:lncRNA from 1 species